GACGAACCGUGCGAACGUUGUUCGUAAUCACUGGGCUUAAAGGGCGCGUAGGCGGACUGCCAAGUCCGGGGUGAAAUCCUCCGGCUUAACCGGAGAAUUGCCUGGGAUACUGGCGGUCUUGAGGGAGGUAGGGGCACGCGGAACUUCCGGUGGAGCGGUGAAAUGCGUUGAUAUCGGAAGGAACGCCGGUGGCGAAAGCGGCGUGCUGGCCCUCUUCUGACGCUGAGGCGCGAAAGCCAGGGGAGCGAACGGG
rnacentral:rRNA from 1 species